rnacentral:tRNA from 1 species
GCCGAAGUGGUGGAAUUGGUAGACACGCACGUUUCAGGGGCGUGUGCUAGUGAUAGCGUGGGGGUUCGACUCCCCCCUUCGGCACAA